AUUUGUACCGAUUAAUAAAUAUCUUCUCAUUUAUCCUUGGAUAUCCCUCCUCCACGUCCCACAUGUCAAGGUACCACCAAUCAGAUUUCCAACCUCUCAUUCUCGUCCACUCUCUUUGACUUUUCCUUCUUUCUCUUCAUAAUAUCUUUCUUUCUUCUUCUGCAACAAACUUCUCUUUUCUUCUUCUUCCUCUUUUCUUUUAUUCCUUGCAGCACUUCUUCCUUCUUUCAUUUCUUUUGCUGAAGCACCCACACCACCAUGGUACCUCUCACUCACGUCCCCUUCUCCCUCUCCACGAGAUGCUACCGCUGGCUACCAUCACCAUGUCUUCUUCCUCUCAACACCAUCGUCCCUCCUCCUCACCGUGGCUGUAUGUCCAGCCAAGAGCCACCACCACCUUGACUUUUCUUCUCUUUGGACAACCAACCCAUGAGCCACCACCAUAUACAAAAGCUCCGACCAUGGCCACUCCAAACAGCCAUGAACACGCGAGCACCACAGCCACCGCUGGUCACCACAACCACGCCUCCUUUCAUGAGCGAACCACCAUGUCUUCUCCAAUCUUCAAGGCUGAAGCCAUUUUUCCUCAAAGCUUUCCUUUUUCGUGCUUUUCUCCUCUCACACAAAGAACAAACAAGGGUACGAAGGACGAAAGCGCCUUGCGACGAAGCUAAGGAAUAGAAGGAAGCGAGCCGACGCGAAAAACAAAGAUGAGAUAGGAUUGGAGUUGCAGUUUAGGAAGAAAAUUGGCUAAGGUAAGGGUAACUCGGUUUUAGAGCGUCUUUGAGUCUUGCAUGCUUUUAUCGCACUGCCUGUGUUUGAGAUGAAGAUGUUUAUAUUGAUUGGCAGAUGAUUAUGAUUAUUAUGCUGAAUUUGGAAAAUGUUUUCUGAGAGGCUUCGGCCGUUUACUGGUUUCUGUCGUUACUGCUUCCUAGUGGAUGAAACAUGUGGUUACUUUGGAUUGGUCCUUGGGUGGGCUUUGUUAUUGUCUGACUUGGCAUAUAGGGCUUGAGUCAAGUGGCGAUGAGGAGGUGUGUCCUAUCAUUGUCCCAUCUUGCGAGAUGCUAAGUGGCGAUCAGGAGGUGUGUCCUAUGAUUGUCCCGUCUUGUGUGACGUUAAGUGGCGAUUAGGAGGUGUGUCCUAUGAUUGUCCCGUCAUGUAUGACGUUAUAAGUGGCGAUGAGGAGGUGUGUCCUAUCAUUGUCCCGUCUUGAGAGACGAUAUUGAUCGAUCCAUUUUGUUAGCAGCAUAUAGUUGCAUUAUAGGGAACUAACACCUGACCCUAUGUUGUUGGAUUUUCGUAUUGGUUUAUUGAUAUCUGAUUUGAUGUUACAUUGUUGAGGUUAUUAUUAUCUGAGUCCGAUUUAUGUUUAAGUUGUUGAUAUAUGAGUUGAGUUAUGUUGCUAGUUAUUUACCAUGCCAGGUAAUUAAAUUCGAACAGCAUGAUUUUCUCUUUAUACAUGGUAAUUGCAUGGAGUUAACCCUUUCUAUUUGCUACUUGUUGUUUGGGCGCUUAACGCUAUUAGGCGAUGGAGAAUCUUCGAUGAAGGUUGACCUUCGUACGAGUUCGAGAUGAGGACUUGAAGAAUUAUGGAAGACUCAAAGAAUAGAGUCGGGUCUAGGGAUAGAGCCUUGGGUUAGAGAGCUUACCGUUAUUGGUUUAAGGUUGCAUAAUGAUUUUAUGAAUUUAUAUUUGAGGUUUCGGGUAGGUUCCGAUGCAUUGCUUUCCUGCGGUUCCCCGAUGUGGAGAUCGUAGGGAGUAUUUCGGAUUUAUGGUGUCAUUGCAUAAUAGGUUCUUUGUUGAGUUGUUUCUAUUGGUUAGGUUUUGUAGGUUGGGUGAUUUCGGGUUUACUUUCGGGUACUUGCCUUGUUCAAGGCUUGAUGUAAAUCCCAUUGUAGUUGGGAGUAUGCAUGACAUGUUUUGGAAAUACAUUUGAAAAGAAAAAAAUAAUACUCGUGUUUAUGUAUCA